rnacentral:rRNA from 1 species
UACGUAGGUGGCUAGCGUUGUCCGGAUUUACUGGGCGUAAAGAGCGCGCAGGCGGUCGUUCAAGUCGAGUGUGAAAGCCCCCGGCUCAACUGGGGAGGGUCACUCGAUACUGAUCGACUCGAAGGCAGGAGAGGGAAGCGGAAUUCCCGGUGUAGUGGUGAAAUGCGUAGAUAUCGGGAGGAACACCAGUGGCGAAGGCGGCUUCUGGCCUGUUCUUGACGCUGAGGCGCGAAAGCUGAGGGUAGCAAACGGG